AACGAACGCUGGCGGCAGGCCUAACACAUGCAAGUCGAGCGAGACCUUCGGGUCUAGCGGCGGACGGGUGAGUAACGCGUGGGAACGUGCCCUUUUCUACGGAAUAGCCUCGGGAAACUGAGCGUAAUACCGUAUACACCCUUUGGGGGAAAGAUUUAUCGGAGAAGGAUCGGCCCGCGUUGGAUUAGGUAGUUGGUGGGGUAAUGGCCUACCAAGCCUACGAUCCAUAGCUGGUUUGAGAGGAUGAUCAGCCACACUGGGACUGAGACACGGCCCAGACUCCUACGGGAGGCAGCAGUGGGGAAUCUUAGACAAUGGGGGCAACCCUGAUCUAGCCAUGCCGCGUGAGUGAUGAAGGCCUUAGGGUUGUAAAGCUCUUUCAGCUGGGAAGAUAAUGACGGUACCAGCAGAAGAAGCCCCGGCUAACUCCGUG
rnacentral:rRNA from 1 species